ensembl:lncRNA
AGUCCUUGGGCGCUGAGUAGCACCUAGGCGACGUGCGGAAGACACAGCCAUGCAGGCUGACAGGAAAUUAAUUGUGCACCAGCAGGUCUACCUUUCGUGAAGGAACAUGGAAGAGGAAAGAAAUGACAGUAAGACUGAAUUAUGAACUCUUAGAAGUUGAGAACAAGAACUGAUUGUAUUGUGAAAGCUGAAUUCACUACUCGCGAUUAACGCUGGCAAUAGCAGUUGGCGGUGAUCACAUGCAUGAGAUUGCUGUAGCAGAUGGAGCACAUGUAUUACUCACAUAGGUUAGAAAAGACAAAAAGAAAACAUUUAUUCCAGUUUUCACUCCAGUGUUUAAAGAGCACCACAAACACAACUUUAAAAGUCUGAAUUCCUUAGAAACUGACACCAGGGGUCUUCUCAUUGUCUUCUCCGCAACUCCCUUCAAACUUGAGACAGAGACUGUCCUGUUCCAAAACUAGGUUUCCUUCUCCUCAGAUCUGGGCACUUCUGACCAAGAUGAGUUUGUGUCCCUGCCAUUGCCUUCCUACUUUGGUGAUGACUAAAACGAAGACACCUCAUUUACUUCUUGGGCAUCUCCUUGAGUCAACUACCACCUCUCCCAGGGUCACCCUGCUGCAAUCAUGUCUCCCAGAGAUGGCCGCUGCGUAUGAGUCUAGGUGAUGCACAUCAAAAGCUUCCUCUGGAACUCAUGCAGUGCAGCAGGCCAGUUCACAACAGCACAGUGCAGUGAAAGUUUACAUGGCGAGACUUCAUCCGCAUGUUACAUGUCUUGUAUCUCCAUCCUGUUCCGAACAGGUCACCCUUUGAUCUGUUCAUUAUUCUCUUCCAUGCUGAAAGGUUUCAGCUUUCCUAUACAGAAGCUGAUGAAACAAGGGAUUUUAUUGUCUCAGUCUGUUUGAUUUCCAGACUUUCACAAAGAGGAUCAAGGAAGCAGACCAGAUGCUCAUUUGGAUAUGAUGGCUUCAGUAUCUCUUUGGUUCCAAUAUAACUCUCUUCUGGUGGUUGGUAUUCAAGCUCUAUUCGUGGCUAUUCACUUCAUAGCUUUUACCAUCUUGCAGUCUGAUUUUCUCUGUGAUCAUGGAGUGUUGCAAGAUAUACUUUCUCCAGGGCCAGUGUGCCACAUGUGUGUCACAUGUUUAAUCUUAGUGCUACGGAAGAAAGCAUGGACGGAAAUUUAUACUAUUCGGAUCCUAGCCUCAGUUGCACAGCUCUGUGGUAGAGAACCUUUUUCUGUUACAACUGAUUUUUAAAUAAAGGGAAUAUACCUUCUU